rnacentral:rRNA from 1 species
GAGAAAGUAAGCAAGGGCAGACGGUGGAUGCCUUGGCUCUCGGAGGCGACGAAGGACGUGAUAAGCUGCGAAAAGCCCGGGGGAGGCGCAAAUAGCCGUUGAUCCCGGGAUAUCCGAAUGGGGCAACCCGGCAGGCUGAAGGCCUGCCAUCCCGUAAGGGAGGCGAACGUGGGGAACUGAAACAUCUAAGUACCCAUAGGAGGAGAAAAUAAACAAUGAUUCCGUAAGUAGUGGCGAGCGAACACGGAAGAGCCCAAACCCGUGGCGUCUAGGCGACACGGGGGUUGUAGGACCACGACGUGGCAAGAAAGCAGGGAAAUGGAAGCGCUUGGAA